rnacentral:rRNA from 1 species
GAUGAACGCUGGCGGUAUGCUUAACACAUGCAAGUCGAACGGAGUGCUUCGGCACUUAGUGGCGGACGGGUGAGUAACGCGUGAGAAUCUGGCUUCGGGUUCGGGACGACAGUGGGAAACUGCUGCUAAUACCGGAUGUGCCUAAGGGUAAAAGAUUAAUUGCCCGAAGAUGAGCUCGCGUCCGAUUAGCUAGUUGGUGUGGUAAGAGCGCACCAAGGCGUCGAUCGGUAGCUGGUCUGAGAGGACGAUCAGCCACACUGGGACUGAGACACGGCCCAGACUCCUACGGGAGGCAGCAGUGGGGAAUUUUCCGCAAUGGGCGAAAGCCUGACGGAGCAAUACCGCGUGAGGGAGGAAGGCUCUUGGGUUGUAAACCUCUUUUCUCAGGGAAGAAAAAAAUGACGGUACCUGAGGAAUCAGCAUCGGCUAACUCCGUGCCAGCCGCCGCAGUAAAAC